rnacentral:rRNA from 1 species
UACGAAGGGUGCAAGCGUUAUCCGGAUUCAUUGGGUUUAAAGGGUGCGUAGGCGGCUUUCUAAGUUGGAUGUGAAAACUAUGGGCUCAACCCAUAGCCUGCAUCCAAAACUGGAGAGCUUGGGUUCUGGAGGGGAAAGCGGAAUUCCUGGUGUAGCGGUGAAAUGCGUAGAUAUCAGGAGGAACACCGGUGGCGAAGGCGGCUUCCUGGACCGACACUGACGCUGAGGCGCGAAAGCUAGGGGAGCAAACGGG